GUCGGGAAUUUUGCGCAAUGGGCGAAAGCCUGACGCAGCAACGCCGCGUGAGGGAUGAAGGCCUUCGGGUUGUAAACCUCUUUUCUCAGGGACGAUGAUGACGGUACCUGAGGAAUAAGCCACGGCUAACUACGUGCCAGCAGCCGCGGUAAUACGUAGGUGGCAAGCGUUGUCCGGAUUUACUGGGCGUAAAGAGCGCGCAGGCGGUCGUGCAAGUCGAGUGUGAAAGCCCCCGGCUCAACUGGGGAGGGUCACUCGAUACUGCUCGACUUGAAGGCGGAAGAGGGAAGCAGAACUCCCGGUGUAGUGGUGAAAUGCGUAGAUAUCGGGAAGAAUACCAGUGGCGAAGGCGGCUUCCUGGUCCGUUCUUGACGCUGAGGCGCGAAAGCUAGGGGAGCGAACGGGAUUAGAUACCCCGGUAGUCC
rnacentral:rRNA from 1 species